rnacentral:lncRNA from 1 species
GCCGGGCGUGGUGGCGCACGCCUUUACUCCCAGCACUUGGGAGGCACAGGCAGGUGGAUUUCUGAGUUCAAGGCCAGCCUGGUCUACAGAAUAAGUUCCAGGACAGCCAGGGCUACACAAGAGAAACUUUGUCUUGAAAAACCAAAAAAAAAUGUUUUUUGAAACUUGGACUCACUAUUAUGUAGCCCUGGCUAGCCUGGAACUUGCUACAUAGACCAGAAUGGCUUCUAAUUCAGAGACAAGCCUUCU